GACGAACGCUGGCGGCGUGCCUAAUACAUGCAAGUCGAACGCUUCUUUCCUCCCGAGUGCUUGCACUCAAUUGGAAAGAGGAGUGGCGGACGGGUGAGUAACACGUGGGUAACCUACCCAUCAGAGGGGGAUAACACUUGGAAACAGGUGCUAAUACCGCAUAACAGUUUAUGCCGCAUGGCAUAAGAGUGAAAGGCGCUUUCGGGUGUCGCUGAUGGAUGGACCCGCGGUGCAUUAGCUAGUUGGUGAGGUAACGGCUCACCAAGGCCACGAUGCAUAGCCGACCUGAGAGGGUGAUCGGCCACACUGGGACUGAGACACGGCCCAGACUCCUACGGGAGGCAGCAGUAGGGAAUCUUCGGCAAUGGACGAAAGUCUGACCGAGCAACGCCGCGUGAGUGAAGAAGGUUUUCGGAUCGUAAAACUUUGUUGUUAGAGAAGAACAAGGACGUUAGUAACUGAACGUCCCCUGACGGUAUCUAACCAGAAAGCCACGGCUAACUACGUG
rnacentral:rRNA from 1 species